rnacentral:rRNA from 1 species
UACGAAGGGGGCUAGCGUUGCUCGGAAUCACUGGGCGUAAAGCGCACGUAGGCGGAUUGCUAAGUCAGGGGUGAAAUCCUGGAGCUCAACUCCAGAACUGCCUUUGAUACUGGCGACCUUGAGUCCGGGAGAGGUGAGUGGAACUGCGAGUGUAGAGGUGAAAUUCGUAGAUAUUGGGAAGAACACCAGUGGCGAAGGCGGCUAUCUGGACCGGUACUGACGCUGAGGUGCGAAAGCGUGGGGAGCAAACAGG